GGUCCUUGCCCUCAAGGAGCUCACAGUCUACUGAGUUACUCCUCUGACUGCCCCACUAGAUUGGGAGCUCCUGGAGGGCAGGUACU
ensembl:miRNA